UCAACGCCCGCGACAGCUCACGGAGACGCAUUCUGGGAGUUGUAGUCUUCUCCGCCGCCACCGCCUGCCGGCUUGGCGACGACAGGACGACAGCUCCCAGGAUGCCCCGCGCGGCGCUCGGCCGAUAGUAAACAAGAGUCACCGGGACACGUGUACCGCGCCCCGGGCCCCUAGUGCAGGCCGCCCCGGUGUCCGGCGGCGGGAGGGCCCUCCUGGCUCUCGCAGCUCCUCCGGGCCGGGCGGGGCGCGGCGCUGGCUCACAGCGUCAGCGUAGAAGUGGUGACCGCGCCGGUGCCUGCGCGUACCGAUCCCCGGGUGGGGGGCCCGGCAUCUCUCGUGAUUCACCAGCCCUCAUUAACGCUCCAACGCUGUUGCGAAACGGCCCCGCUCGCGUUCCGCCUGGCGGAGGCUGUGGAGGUGAGAGGCGCUGCCAAAGGUCAGAGCGUGAGUCAGCAGCUGCUCCGCCUCGGCGCCGUCCCUGGCACAGACCCUGCUGGGCUCGGCUCCAAAACACAAGCUGAGAAAUGGGACUACAGAUAUUAUGAGAUUUGCCCACUUAAUGACUGGGAGACGGCAGAGAGAAGAACGGACUCCUGAGGCUACAUCCUCGUAAAAGCUGUUACUGUGCGUGAUCCGAUACGAAGCAAAUAAAUGCGCAAUUCGGAAAUAGUCAAGAGGAUUUUAGAAACAGAGGGAGAGUUUCAAGAUUUUGCAAGUGUUGCGGUCUUCCCAAUGAAAGCAUUUCUUCCUUUCUAUAUUUUCAACAUCAUCUCAAGCCUGGUAACGUGUCCUAAAUCCUGUAGCAGAGCAUUUGUUGGAAUUUUGUAUCUGCAACAGUUCUGUCUGUCAGGCAGCCUAACACAGAUACACACGUCUUUACCAGCUCUAAGGAAGAAACGCAGCCCUACCCACAGGGCUUGCACAGCCAUGGCAACACCAUUCCUGCACUGCAGCUCAGCGUGAUUUGCUGUCGCAGAAGGGACAGGGAUGGGACAAAGGAGAUGAGGAGGGGAGAGUCACUGCCCUGUCAGCCAGGCCACUGCGUCCCAGCACGGACCCAGCCAGUCACUCCACUUGACUUACAUCCCCCUGCUGCCACUGGCUCUUCAGCUGGCCCUCAGAAUAAAGAUCAUUUAAGGGGAAAGACAGAAAUGGGGUCAAGGAAGAGACAAUGUUAAAAUAUAAUCUUCUUUCAGCUUUUCAUUUCCUACCAAGAUUAUUCAACUUCCCUUCAGUCCAUGAAAUGAGCAUGUCCAUCCUGUUAAGCCUCUUUCUGAGCCAAAAAAGUAGAUGAAGAACUUAGGAACAGUCUUGGUAUAUAUCAGAAGGAAACCCAGCUCUCUGAGUUAUUUGAAAAUGAUCCUAAAUUUCGUAAGAUAGUCAACAGCACAGAUCUGUACAUACUCAGCAUACAAAGAGGAAAUUACUCCUAGCAAAAACUGCUGUAGUGCUUACUUGAGGACUACAGAUACAGGAAAGUAUCUUAGAAACUAAAAAAAAAAUAACCAUCACAUGUAUGGAUGGAUAAAAAGAGCUUUAAAGUAACACAAAAACUUUAGUAAUGGCAUGUGAGAAUGUCCAUGCUGUGGCUGACAGACUUUUCAGCAAAGCACUUCGUCCAGCAAAAUGAUCAUACGCAGUAAGCGUUUGAAGAACGAUGAGGAACUUGGUGUGCUGGGCAUCUCUGAGAGGUGACCAGCAGAUACUGAAUUUGUACAUCUAAGAACUCUUGAUAUUGAAAAACAAUAAUGCUUGCCAUGGAAAGUGUGUCAUAAACUACAAAAUGACACAAAUAAUGAUGUAACUGAUCCCAGCGUCACUUUAUAGAAGGCUUAAAGCACCAAACAUUUCAAACAAAACAAAUGUGAUCACCAAAACCAAACCCACCAUUCCGGCAAGGACCAGAAUAGUCUUUAUGAAGACAAAAGACAACUCGAGGAAAGAAGAUGGAGAUACAGCAGUUUAGGUUGUAGAUGGUCUCACAAUGCUUUUCACAGCUUUGCCCCAAGACUUCCGCAAUCAGUCACUUCUGGACCUCAAACAGGGGAUCCAGAAGGGAAUUAUUUCAGAAGCGUUUAUUCCACAUGAACUUUAAGAAAAAAUCUCAUGAAGCACAAACAAAUGACAUGUAGAAAAUGAUGGCAUCAGCACCAGGACCAAGGUGCUUUCCUCAGGGCUUAUGUCUUGUGAUCAACUAAGGGCUGUGCUCAAUUUUUUGUUUCCCAUGGUUAAAGCAUUUGUAAACAUUUGCUGCCAUGUGGAUUCUCUUUUGCUUAGUAACAUGUGAGCCCAUGAAUGCUGUUCUCGUACAGGAUUUCUCUCAGGCUUUUCUCUCGUCAUGCAGCAGGACAUACUUUCAGCAAACUCCUUGGAGCAUUUUUCCCCCCCAACUAGAACUUAAUCCUCUGUCAAAUUCGUUUAGCUCAUCUGCAGGAUUACAAAUUGCCGGUGAGGUUGAGAAGAGAGGAGACAAACAAAAUUGUACGUGCCAAGUAACUGCCCAAGUCCCAUUCCUUUAGAGAUCCCACUACAAACAAGGACGAUAAAAUCUUUAAUAACAGAAGCAACGGGUAAUCUAAGUAUGGAUGCAGAUAGUCUCAUAAGGCAAACAUGACAUAGUGUUGUUUAAAAUUAUUAGAAUUACUUACCUUUUUUUGAAAGGUCAGAAAAAAAUCAGUGACUUGGUAUCAUUUCCUUCUUAGGAUGAACACUCACCACAUUUAUGAGACAAAGACAGGCAUGUUUGCAGCGUACACAUGAACAGAUCCAGGACAAAUCCCACGUGCUGACUGAUGAAGGACAUAAUGAUUUGGACAAAACUUACAAAGCAACAGUUUAUUACUGUUGGUUAAACCCUCCUGAAUUCGCUGACAAAGAAAAGUCCAGAAAUCAUCCAGUACCCAAGAGGAACACAAAAAAACUGCUGCAACACGAAGCUCUAUUUCAGGACUCAGAAAAUCCAAAGUCUCUGAUUAUCUUUAAAUUUGUCACUCCGCAGCUUUUUCCCAGCUAUAAGCUUCAAGACAAUCAUCAAAUACAAAGUAUCUAUGACAAUUACUGCACUGCGUCAUCUACUCUGAGUAGACAGAGCAUCCACAUAACAUCAUUUAUUAAAAUCACCAUGAAAAUGUUAAGAAUUAGGAAUGUUUUCAUAAAUGAAUAUAAAUAGGUCACUUGUAACUUUAUGAUAAUGGAAUUAAAACACAACAAUAUCAAUAAACAGGUUUUUUUUUAUAUAAAAGUGUAGUUUAUUGUAAGGAAACUUUAAAUAUAACCAACAAUAUUGAAAAUAUCGUGACUGGCAUUUAUGGCCUUGAUUGUAGUUUACUGCCAUACAAGUAAUUUCUAGCAUUUUUCAUAAUGACAUCAAGCUAGUGCAAAAUAUAGGUAGCUUUUAGAGAUUAAGCAUACAGAAUGACAAGAGUGUAGAUUUUGGUUACCUGGUAUUUCCUUCUAGUAUAACAGGCUUUUCUUUGUUUCCAUAAAUCAAAAGUACAAAGGCAAAUUAUCAUAUGUGCAAUUAUUCAUACCAUGUUUC